rnacentral:tRNA from 1 species
GGUAAAGUGACUGAGGUUAAAAGUGAUAGAUUGUAAAUUUAUUUAGGGGAAUUAUUUCCUUUUUACCA